UACGUAGGGUCCGAGCGUUGUCCGGAAUUACUGGGCGUAAAGAGCUCGUAGGUGGUUUGUCGCGUUGUUCGUGAAAACUCACAGCUUAACUGUGGGCGUGCGGGCGAUACGGGCAGACUAGAGUGCGGUAGGGGAGACUGGAAUUCCUGGUGUAGCGGUGAAAUGCGCAGAUAUCAGGAGGAACACCGGUGGUGUAAACGGCUUUCUGGACCAUAACUGACGCUGAGGCACGAAAGCGUGGGUAGCAAACAGG
rnacentral:rRNA from 1 species